rnacentral:rRNA from 1 species
GACGAACGCUGGCGGCGUGCUUAACACAUGCAAGUCGAACGGAAAGGCCUGCUUUCCCUUGUGGAUUGCGGGUACUCGAGUGGCGAACGGGUGAGUAACACGUGAGUGAUCUGCCCCCAACUUGGGUAUAAGCCUGGGAAACUGGGUCUAAUUCCCGAUAGGACUGCAGGGUGGUGCCUGUGGUGGAAAACGAUUUUCUAGUGGUUGGGGAUGAGCUCGCGGCCUAUCAGCUUGUUGGUGGGGUAAUGGCCUACCAAGGCGGCGACGGGUAGCCGGCCUGAGAGGGUGGACGGCCACAUUGGGACUGAGAUACGGCCCAGACUCCUACGGGAGGCGGCAGUGGGGAAUAUUGCACAAUGGGCGGAAGCCUGAUGCAGCGACGCCGCGUGGGGGAUGACGGCCUUCGGGUUGUAAACUCCUUUCGACCGCGAGGAAGCCACCUGGUUGGAAGGGUGGUGACGGUAGUGGUAGAAGAAGCACCGGCUAACUACGUG